GAUCCCUCUAGUAAGGGGGAAUAGAAUAGAUAGUUAUGGAUGGAUAUGGGGCCUGGGAUGGGAGGAUCAAAUGAGGAGAGGAAGAGAUGAGGGGAGAGAGAGAGGAAAUACAGGUGGAGGGACAGUUAAAACUAAGGGCCCUUUGAGUGGUUGUUUGGAAAACUUGUGCAGUAGAAACUUCCUAUUAUACAUAUAUCAAAGGGAUCUAAUGAAAUUGCCAAAUAACGGGGAGUCAGAGGCCCAACUGGACAUCUUUUGUUGCUGAAUGAAGCUUCCAGUAUUGGGAAUGGGUUACAUAUAAUUGAGUUGUUGGUCAAAGGGGUCCCAUGGGAACCCCCAAACAAGGCAGGCUAUUUCCAAGGUUACUGGUUGCUCUCCAUAAACUGACAGUAAGGUCCUAUUGCUGAAGACAGCACCUAUACAACACACUGAACACAGAGAAGUCCAGCUGGCGCCUUCAUAGUCUUUAUCCCUCCUGACUAAUGUUCAUGGUGAGGGAAAGGGCUCUGCAUGCUACCAAAGGAGGAGAAAGGCAAAACCCCUUUGAGUUACAAGAGUGACAUGCUUGCAAGAUAUGCUGGUACAAUAAUGACACAAAGCUUGUGAGACAACCAAUAUCUGAUUUGAGGUAAGGUCCACUCCAUGAAAUGAGAUACCCAACAUUCCAUGAGACCACAUAGGCCAGGGAUUUUGAGUAAAACCAAAUACUACUGGUUUGCUAAAGGAAGAUAGCAAUAAAAUGACCCCUAACAAUAUUCUGCUAUACUCAUAGGUCAGUGCUUACUCGGCCAUCAUCAGAGACGCUUCCUCCUACAGAAGAUAAUGGGGGAGGGCCUUCUGUUUACAUGUUUGUCUUAUUGGUUGAUAAAUAAAGCACUGUUGACCAACAGGGAAGCAAGAUAGACGGGACUAGGAGAGAAGGAGGAUUCUGGGAAAUGUAGUAGAGAGACAGUCGCCAUGUGAUCCCAGGGAAGAGAGGACAGACACAUGCUGCUGGCAUCCUCAAUAAGAUAAGUCUUUAUAAAUUAUAUAGAUUAAUGGUUAUAGUUGAUACUUAAGACAGAGCUAGCAAAUAAAAAAUCCUAGUCAUUGGCCAGCAGCAUUAUAACUAAUAUAAGACUCUGUGUGUUAUUUGGGGGCCCUAAAGCAGUGGCAGAACCCAGGCAACUGGAGGAAAGAGUUAUCAUUACAAGAAAAUGUGAACAAAUAUAGAGAGGCCUACAGCCAGACACCAUGCAGAGUGAGAGACCUUGGGACACUCAACCCUAGAAGGGUUGCCUCCAUCAGAUCCCUCUCCUUGGGCUCAGGGAACUCCACAGACAAGGCAGAAAGAUUGUAAGACUUAGAAGGGAUGGAGGACACUUCGGAAUCAAGGCCUUCUAGACACAACAGGGCUGGUGUACAUAUGAACUCAGAGAGACUGGAGUGUUGUGGAAUAUUCCUUUACACUGUGUGAAGAUGUGUCACUGUGAUUGGUUUAAUAAAGGGACGAAUGACCGUGGCUAGGCAGGAAGAGGUUAGGCGGGACUUCUAGGACAAUGAGCUCUGGGAAGAAGAGAGGCAAAGUCACCAGCCAGAUGCAGAGAGAGAACAGAUGUGCAGGAGGAGAGAUGCAGAGAGACAUCAGACAUGCAGGAGGAGAGGUAAAAGUCACGAGUCACGUGACUUCCAAACUUCCAUCAUGGGUGGGGGAAGAGCUCAUGAGGCUCCCCCUAGCUGAGGAGUUGUUGGCAUUAGUGGCCCAGGGCAAGGGUAGUUAUUUUUCUUUGGUGGUGUAGCUGCUGGUAAAGUGCCCAUGCUUGCAAAACAAUCACACAUUCAUGCUCAUGCAAUCAGAAAACCUCCAAACAAACAUAUGUGACAUGAAUAAUAAAAACCCAGAGACAGACAUUGGGGUUCAAGCUGAGGGUCAGAUAAGCAAAACAGCCAGCCACUAGCUCCUACCUUUACCUCAGCUCAGACCAAAGGGGUGGUCCUCAGACUGCUCCCAACUUCACUGCUCCUCAGAUUCACUCAGACUGCUAUGCUCUCCUCAACAUGGCUAGAGACUAAUCCUCAGACUAUGAGCCCGUCCCCACCAAACCUCAGGCUGAAGUCCCAGGCUGUUGCCUCUUGCUUUUAUACCUCCCAAAUCCUGGGACUAAAGGCGUGUGAUCCUAGGUGCUGAGAUCACCUUUGUGUGAGCUGUUUCUCUUUAGGACUGGAUCACUUCCCUGUAGCUCAGUGUGGCCUUGAACUAGCAGAGGUCCAUCUGUUUGUCUCUUGAGUUUUGGAAUUAAAGGUGUGUGCCACUGUCACCUGGCUCUAUGGCCAGCUAGUAAGGCUGGUGGGAUUAAAGGUGUGUAUCACUACUGCCUGGCUCUAUGGCUUGUGGCUAGCUUUGCUUUCUAUACCAUGAGGCAAGCUUUCAUAAAUCAUAAAUAGUAUGUCACCAAAAACAUGCAUCUUGGGUGCUUUUGCCAUAAAGGGCUGCCCCCAUGGAGGCCCAAAUCCACAGGUUACCUGAUUUUGUACUUGAACUCCUGAACCAGAGCCAAAAUAAGCCUCUUUUCAUUUCCUGAGUAGGCUGUAGCCGGUAUUUUGUUACAGUGGUAGAAAGCUGACAAAAUCAAGGUUUUAGACACUGAAAUCCUGUCUCUAGUUUCACCUAAUUGUAUAUAUUUCAGAUAAAAUGGAUGAGUGUAAAAACAUAUUAUUAUUAUAUAUUGUUGUUAGUGUGUAGUUAUGGGGGCUUGACGUCAUGGUACAUGUGUGGAGAUCAGAGAACAAUGUGGUGGAAUCAGCCUGUUCCUUCUGGUUUUUCUAAGAAUAAAAUGUAUAUUUCCAGACUUUUGAUGUAAGUACCUUUUCCCACUGGGCCAUCUUGCUGUCUCCCAUGACUAAAAACAAUUCUUUUAUAUGUACAGGUGUUGUCUAUAUGUGUGUCUGUGCAGCAUAUGCAUACCUGGUGCCAGUAGAGGUCAGAAGAUGUCAGACACCUGAAACCGGAGUUACGGAUUCUUGUGAGCUUCCAUGUGGGUGCUGGAACUCAAAGCUGGGUCCUCUGGAAGAGCAACACGUGCUCUUAGCCACUGAUCCAUCUCCCCAGCACCACCCCCAAUAAUGUCUUGACAUAGCUGAGCAAAUAACAUAUUUUAUUUGCUAUUUUACCUAGUUACCUUUUAUGUUGUGUGUAAAAACAUCUAAAACAAGCCAGGUGGUGGUGGCACACACCUUCAAUCCUAGCAUCUAAGAGGCAGAGUUCUGUGAGUUCAAGGCCAGCCUGGUUUAUGGAGUAAGUUAUAGGAUAGCCAAGACUACAUAGAGAAAAAAAGUCUAAAAAACCUAUUCAUUCAGAAAGUUUACCUAUUAUAAUAGGUAGUACAUUGUAUGUAUUGUCCUUAUGGUCAUUUGAAUAAAAAGUCCUGCAUAGUCUGGGCACUUGAAUCCUUGGUCCCCAGUUGGUGGCUGUUUGGGGAGGUUUAUGAGGUGUGACCUUGCUGGAGGAAGUGUGCCACAGGUGGUGGGCGUUGGGCUUUCAAAGACUCACAGCAUCCCCAGUGUGCUCUCUCUGCUUCCUGCUAGCAGCUGGAGGUGUGAGUUCUCCGUUGUUCCGGCUGCCAUGCUGAGUGCUGCCACAGUUCCUGGCUGUGAUGGUGCUGAAAUCUCAUCCCUAUGGAGCCAUAAGCCCCAGAUAAACCGUUCCUUCUAUAACCUUUGUCAUGGUAUUUUAUCACAGCCAUAGAAAUGGACCUAAGACAGUCCACAGGCUGCAGAUUGCAUCCUUUGGUCUACACACCCUGAAGAUCUGCUUUGACAUACAUUUCCCUAUUUUCUUCCCCACCUGCUGUCUACUCUGCUCCCACAGCUACCAUUGUAUUCUGUCUCUAUGUGUUUUCCCGUUUUCUUUCAGAUUCUGGAUGUUACUGAGUACGUAAUAUUUUUCUUUCAUUUCUGGUCAUGUGCUCUGAGUUCAUCUAUAUUGUUGCAAAUGGGGGAAAAUGUCCUUUCAAAAGACUCACUUAUCUUAUACUAUAUAUGUGUACAGCACCACAGUUUCUCUUUCCAUUCAUCUGCCAGCAUAUCUUUAACUUAUUUGGAAAGUUGAAGACCACUUUCAGUGCCUGGUAUAUGAGCAAACAUUUCUUUGCAUGUGUUAUGUGUACAGGGACACACACAUGUAUGUUCACGUGUGUAUACACCUGUGUGUGGAGGAGGGGACUGGUGUGGAGGGUCUUUCUUGGUCACUCUCCAUCUUACUUAUUGAGUCACCGGGACCCAGAGCAUGUCUACAUGACUAGUCUAGCCAGCUUGCCCCGGGGAGCCCCCUCCGUCUCUAGAGCACUGUGAUUAUGGGUAGGUCACUGUGCCCGCCUUGCUUUUCUGUGGGCGCUAGGCAUCUGAACUCUGUUUCUCAGGCUUUCACGGCAGACGCUUUCUUUAUCCACGGAAUCAUCUGUCCAGCUCUGAGAAAAUCUUCCGAGCUUUGUUUUGUUUUGUUUUUUAAUGUUCCUUCCCCCCAUUAUUUUACAGCCUCGUGAUUUCUACCCCACUUAACUUCAAAGGCAGGAGGGGUGGCCUGGUGUGCUGAGGUCCCACAACAGCAGCUUUUGCUUUGCUCUCUCUGUCUAGGCUGGGAGUUCUUCCCUGGCGAGAAACUGCUGGGGCCUCUUUGUGACAGAGCUAGGCGAAGCCUGGGACAGGUUUGUUUUCACAGCUGUCCUGAGAUCCAACCCCAGAGCUGUCCGCCCUACUCCUCACACACUCAGCUUGCUGGCAAAGUGAAAGACAGUGUAGAGUGUAAAUCUUGCUCUCCUACGUGUGUUCUGAGCUCCUGUGCCUCCCAGUCUCACCCAGGGGCCUCAGAAGUUGGUUUGCAGUGGGAAAGGUGACCACUUAGCAUAAUAGCCAGGCCUCCUGCCCCCUGGGGUGAGGGGCAAAUCAGCUCUGGUGUGUGCAGGUGUGCCUUGCUUUCUACAAUGAGGGCAUUGUCAGAACCUUAGACAGAUGGGACCACACACUGAUCAGGGCCAUCACCUCAUGUCAUGGGAGAGCAAACUGCUUGUCUCAUAAGUUCAGUGACAUAGAUGGGUUCCAAAGACUCCUCCUGCUGUGACGGCAUGUGAUUUUCGAAGAUGUAGAGACUUGAGAUUUUUGAAAUGCCCGGUGGGAACAGAGUUCUUCCUGUACCCCAGACAGUGCAAAGCACUUGUCUUUCUUUGGUCUUUAGAAUAGCCUUCGGAGUUGGGCAUUCUUUCCCUCAAUUCACUGAGAGAGGAAACAAAGUUACCAAAGCAACCACAGCUAGUAAGAAGCCGUCCAGGCAUUCUGGAGUUCCGAACUCCUCUCUGUGCGUGUGACCCCACUGGAGGCUGAGCUUUGGUCAUGUUCUAGGACCAAAAGGAAGCUGAUGAUGGGUGGCACUGGGCUCAUACUCCCUAUGAGAGUGUGAGGGAGCAGCCACUAGCAAUCUGGUUUGUGCACUGCUGCACUCUAGGGGGAUCUGGAGUCCACAGGGGCUAUGGGUUAGCAUGGCCUAGGUCACUGGUUAGCAUGGCCUAGAUCACUGGUUAGCAGUGGUAGCUUAGCAUGGCCUAGGUCACUGGUUAGCGGUGGUGGGUUAGCAUGGCCUAGGUCACUGGUUAGUGGCGGUGAGAGCUGAUGUGCUGCAUAGCAGAGCACUUUCUGAAAGCACAGCCAGCUUCUCACAGGAGAGGAGGUGAAGGGUUUCAGGUCAAAGAAUGCACACUGUUCCCAGAUCUUCCCUUGAGGGAACUUGGGCAACAUUUUGUCUUUAUUUCUCUGAAGCAGUCUUGCUGUAUCUGCUACUUAUUUUGUGAAUGUAGGCCAAAGGGUGCUUCCCCCUCCACUGUUUUUCUGACAAGCCUGCAGGCAGGCAAAGACUGGUUGCCCCUGGUGUUUGUCCACAUAUUUUUUUCUUUCUCUCUCCCUCUCUCCUACUUUCCUUCUUUUUCUCUGUUUCCCCCUCUCUCCUGGGACUCUGUACGGUGAAAGGACUGCAGUCAACACUUGUACUAACACCUCACAUAUGUCCCAGUCAUCUGGGAUAAGUGUCCUGAGUUCAGAUCCUUCAGGAAACAGGGGGGCAUGGAAGAAUACAGGAACCCAUUGGGCAAACACUGAACUGUAUUACUCCUCUCUAGAGGAUUUUUCUUUUUGAAACAGAGUUUCAUAAAGCCCGGAUCAGCCUCAAGCUCACUGUGUAGGUGGGGAUGACUUUGAACUCCUGAGCCUUCUGCCUGCAACCUCUAAGUGAUAGGAUGACAGAAAUGCACCAUCAUGUCUUGGUGUUGCAAAUUUUGGACAGUAGCCAUAGGCUUGAUGUCAAUGGAUAUUUUGGAUGGAUGUGUGAAAUCUCUUUGUUCUAUGAAUUGCCAAGCUAUAUUAGCCAAAUUUCCAUUUCUUUAACAAAAUACACAAUGCUGUUUUUGAUAAAGGAAAAGUUUUAUUUUUCUUGCAGUUCCCUAGGCUCAAGGACAUGCUGCCCUUUGCUCAGCUGUCAUGAAGCACCAUAAGUGACCAGAAGAGGGCGAUGGUUUUCCUGCAUCUGAUUUUACAGAACAUGGCUUGCAGCCAUGUGGGAGCUGGGAAUUGACCUCAGGUCCUCUGCAAGAGUGGUAAGUGCAGAGUCAGCUCUCCAAUCUCCAAGCAAAAUCUUAAAAUGCUGUGUAACGUGCAUUCAAUACAACAAUUGGCUAGAAUCAUUCCCAGCUUUCCUUUUUUAGGGUUAGAACAUGUUAUGCCGGAAUAUUUAUGAACUUUGCUGUGUGUAUGUAUGUAGGUAUGUUGCCCUUGCUUUGGAAAUGAUUAGUGCUCCUGUGUUUGCUGAGAAGAGCUGUGUGGGACUUCAGUGUGGACUGAUAAGAUCAGGUUUCGGUGUUACUUUUUAAUAGUCAUGUAGCCUUGCUCUCACGAGUCUAUAAAAAACAGCUGUGUAGCCCUCUCUGCUCACGAGUCUCUUGGUUUGAUUUAAGAAUUUUCAUCUAUGAGAUGAAGCUGUUGGUGAGUGAAUCCUUAGGACUUCUACUUCCAAAAUUCCAUGCCCAUGGCUCGAGUUUAGUUCUAUCUUGUUUGUAUUUAACAUACCCAGACUUAGAUACUUACAAUUGCAGGCUUAUGCUGCACUGUGGAAACAUAAUUGGUUGUAAAUUAAAAAGAAGUCCCUGGAGGCUGCUUUUUUUCCAAUAGAUUUCCUAGAAGGAGAGGCUAAAUAAGGGUCACCCUAAAAUUAAAUGAGGCUAUGAUUUCUCAAUGGCAAAUACCACUGGGAAUUCCAUCUGAAAUCUGGGGGGAAUGGAUGGGAGGAUGGAAUCCAUGCUAACAAAGCGUGACAAGAAUGGCAAUGGUUCGGGGGAGACUGAACCCUUAGCCAUCGACUGCUGGGAAUGCAAAGUGGUGCAGUCACUUUAAAAAACUUGGUCAGUCCUUCAGAGUAUCAAGCACAAAGCAUUACAGCACAACCCAGCAAUUCUGUCCCUAGUGAGAGAUGUGUUUUUAGAAUGUGUUAUGCCCAAGGGUUUAUAUCAGCAUUGGUCACAGUGCCCCCAAAGUAGGAAGUCUCUAAGGUGUUUGAAUAGAUAAACUGUGGCUCAGUGUGGUGGUGGUGCACAUCUGUAAUCCCAACACACGAGAGGCUGUGGCAGGAUGGUGAAUUUGAGGUCAGCCUGAGGUAUACAGUGUGUGUGUGAGACUAGCCUCAGCUACACAGCAAGAUCCUGUUUCCAGAAAUACAAUAAAAUGAGGACUGCUGAGAUGGCUCAGUGGGCAAAAGCACUUGCUGCACACGUCUGAAGACGUGAUGUCAAUACCGGGACCCACUGCGGGAGAAAGCUGACUCCAAAAGCUGUCUUCCGGCAUCCUCGUGUGUGUUCUAGCAUGUAGAUGCCACUGUAUGAACACCGCACACACAACAAAAACAAUACAUACAAUAAAAUGAAACAAACCCCACAAAAGAGUGGCAUUCUUAUUGAAUAGAUUGUUCUUCCAUAAGGGAGUUCUGGACCAUGCUGCACUGUGGAUUAAUCCUGAAGACAUUGCGCUAAGUGAAAGAAGCUGGCCGGAACAGCACACGAUGGGGUUCUGUGGUCAGGGUAACAUAACAGCAAAGAAAAACAGGAUGGGUGACGCUCAAGGCUGGGGAGGGUGAAGGAAAUGAGUUACGUUGAAGGGAAUGACAUUUCUUUUCAUGGGGAUAAGCAUGUCCAGAAUGGUCUGUGUGGAUGUGUGUGCAGCUCUGCACACACACAGACCCCCACUGAAGCGUGGUCUUUUAGCGGCUGCACCGUAAGGUGUUUAACUAUGUCCCAACGAAGCUGUUUAAAAGAUAUACGAGGAUGAAAAAGAAAAUUUAAGAGAAGCAAGAGGUAAAUAGAAAGACGAAGGCUAGUGAGAAACAGGAAUAGGAGUGUUACCCACAAGGAACCUGGGCCCAUGGCUCAGGGAUGAGAAUACUUCCAGUUUAAAUCCCCAGCACCCACAUAAGGAGCCUGGCCGCCUGGCCGCCUGUAACCCAACACUGUGGGGAGUAGAGACAGAUGGCCCACCUGCCGACCGUGGGUUUGCAGCUGUCAGUUUAGCUCUAGGCUCAGGGAGACUCUGUCUCGAAGGAAUAAAGGUAGAGAGUGAUGGAACACGACACUCAGCAUCCUCCUCCUCUGGCUUCCAGGUGUGGGUGUACCCGUCAUGGCGCUUACCCCUAGGUGUUCACAUACCACACACACUCACGACUGUUUCAGUAGCAUAUAGAUUUAGAGGUACCCAGUUUAUUUCAAGAGCGGCCUUUAAUGAGGCAAAUUGUGACCAGGGCAAGUGAUGGUUAAUAAUGAGAAAUGGUGAUUUUCAUUCUUGGACGUGGGCCUAAGCACUAAGCUGUUUUAUUUUUUUCUGGGUAUUUUAAUGCAGUGUUUUGAAGCUCAAGCAGCCUGUUGGUCUGUUUUUCGGCUCCAUUUGUUUGUUGGCUGGUUUGAGUUACUGAUGAGGGUGCAUAUGGUGAGGGACACUCAUGACAUCAGUACUAGCAGAACUGCCAAAAUCCUGCCAAGUCCCGAUGACUUGCCCCAGGACUUGAAAAACCAAAAUUGCAAAAUAGCAAGAGUGGAGGACUUGCUAGUUGGCGUAAAGUUGGGAGGAAGUUUGUUCAAGUGCCAAAGGUGACAGCGUUCUGACAAGAAGCUGUUUAACUCGAUUGCAAAGACAACUUCGGUGGGGUUGAGCCCCAGGCCAUGUUUGUUAGGUUCUCUGGGAAGAGGGCUCAUGAGAGUCAGAGGUUGGGCAGGGAGAGAAUGGCAGCCCAUACUGGAUGGAGGGCUGCCUGCCUCAUCUUUGUGGGGAGGGGCUGUUCCCUGGGUCCUGACUGUUACUGAACAGAAGGAAGGGCAGUGUCUGCAAAGCAACCUGGGUUAUCAGAGGAAACUGAUCAUAAAGAUAUUUACAUAUUGAAAUAUUUUGCUGUUUUGUUUGUUUUUUAAGAUAGGGUCUCUCUGUGUAGCCCUGACUGUUCUGGAAGUCUCUUUGUAGACCCGGCUGGCCUUGAACUCACAGAGACCUACCUACCUUUGCCUCCCCGAGUGCUGAGGCUAAAGGCAUGCGCCACUACCACCCUGCAAAAUCUUCCCUUUAAAGUGUUGCCAUUUAUUCAGAAUUUAAAGAUUUAUUUAUUACUUUUAUUUUACGUGUAUGUGCGUAUGUGCUCGCUGUGCAUGCAGGUGUCUGUGGAGGCCAGAAUGGGACGUUCGAGCCCCUGGAACUGGAGUCACAGGUAGUUGUGAGCCCCCUCAGGUGGGUGUUAGGAACCAAACCCAGGUUUUGUGCAAGAGCAGCCAGUGCUCUUAACCACCGAGUCAUCUCCAGCUCCUCUAACCAGAAUUUGAAAUGCAACGACCUACAGCAAUUUAGGGAGCAAAUCAUUUUCGGAUCAUACUUGAUAAGAGAUUUGCAUCUGGACUAUAUAAAGAAUGCUUCUGGUUCAACAAUACUGAGAACACAAUGUAAGACAGCCGGAAUUUAAAAUUGGAGAAAGGGUCCGAAAAGACACAUCAUCCUGCGGAGACACAAAUGUAACAAGCACACUGGGAAAAAAAAAUGCUAAAUGACAUUAGUGUCGGGAAAAUAGAAUGAAAACCACAGUGAGAUACUACUUCAGAGCCACUAGCCUGGCCAGAAAAGAAAGGCCAUGGUGAGUGUGGUGAGGAUAGUGACCGGAGCCCUCCUGGGGAUGCUGGAAAUGUUCAUCCUUGCAAACAGAAUAGCAGUUCCUCAAAAGGUUGAGUGGGAUGAAUGGUCAUGUGACUCACACUUUACCUCCUAGCUGUCUAUUCAAAGCAAUCAAAAUAUAUGUGCAGAUAAAACGCUGCAAAUGAGUUUCAAUACUAACGUUGUUUAUUGUACUAGUUACUUUUGUAUUGGUGUGAUAAAACUGCAUGACCAGGGUAACUUGCAGAAGAGUUUAUUUGGGCUGAGGGUACCAGGGGGAAUGGGGUCCAUCAAGGCAGGGAAGUAGCAGGCCUGGUGGCUGGAGAAGCAAGCUGAGAGCUCACCUCUUAAACUGCAAGCGGGAAGCAGAGGGAAGGCACAGGGAACGGUGUGAGGCUUUGAAACCCUAAAGCCUGACCCCAGUGACCUAUUUCCUCUAUGGAGGACACACCUCCCACACCUAUCAAAACAGCUCCACCAGCUGGAUACUUAAUCAUUCAAGCAUCUGAGCUUUGGGGAACAUGCUUAUUCAAACCCCUAUAUUUAUGCACCCCCAAAGUGGGAGCAUCACAGAUGUCCCUUCACUGGUGAAGAUAAUCCCCUAUGGUUGAGAUAUUAUCUAGUGAAUUUAGAAGUUAAAAAGGAAUUAAGUACUGGUACAUGCUACAACAUGGAUAAACUUUGAAAUGCCACUUCAGGGUGUUCCCUGUCACCUCAAAGUCCAGCUCCAGGGGAUCUGAUGCCCUCUUCUGGCUUUCAAGGGCACUUGCACUCACAUAUGCACACCCCACACAGACACUCACAAUACAAGUAAAAAAAAAAAAAAAAAACAAAGCCAGGCCUGGUGGCACACACUUUUAAUCCCAGCACUUGGGAGAUAGAGGCAGGUAGAUCUUUGAGUUUGAGGCCAGCCUGGUCUACAGAGUGAGUUUCAAGACAGAACUACACAGAGAGACCCUGUUUUGAAAAAUUAAACAACAAACAAACAAAACCCCAAAAUGAAACAACAAAAACCCAAACAACAACCACCAAACCCCCAAAAAACAAGGUAAAGCAAAACAAAACCCCAAAAUCUUAAAGAUGAAAUAGUAAAUGAAAAGGGCUAGUCAAAAACUCUCAUGAUAUCCUAUAUCAUUUAUAUACAGUCCCUAGAUAAGAAAUAUACCCAGACAGAUUAGUGGUUUUCUAGGGUAUGGAAGAUGAGGGUAGAGGGUGGAAAGUGAAUUUAAAGAGUAUGGAUUUCUUUCUAAGAUGAAGAAAAUUGCCUGAAAUUGAUUGUGGUGAUGGCUGUGACUAUCCCAAACCCACUGAGCUGCGCACUGUAAACAGGCUAACUGUGUGGUAUGUGACUAUUUCCCCAAUAAAACUGUUACAAAAGAAUCCAGUGAACCACACAGAGCCUCUCUCCAAACUUUAGAUUCUCUUCACAGGUCUUGACAGCCGCACGGAAGGUCUGGGAGGGGGUCAAGGAGUAGACUCCUUGGGGAGUCUGGGAAGGAAGGGUUGUGCCUGCUUUCUAGCUAGCCCUCCUGUUAGUGGCAGAACCAGGACUGGAGAUGUCUCCUGACCUCCUCCUCUUGCUACAUUAACUCCAUCCACAGCCUGUGUUUAAGUGUAACCAGGAAGGGGCUGAGAAGCCACCAUCACCAACAGCUUGGACAUGCUCUCUUCCCUCCUGCUUGGCAAAGGCCUCCCUCUCUCCACUGGAAGGCUUCUUGAGAAGAUAAAGUACUGUAAAGAAGACCCCUUAAGGGAGAGACAGGCCACACAGUGCCCCUGGCCUUCCCCCCAGCAGCCUGGGAGGGUCUGUGUGCUCAGGAAAGCCCUGACUCUGUGUGUUUGUGAUUCAAUAACACUUAGCUCACCAAAAUGCUGUUUUCGCAAUAGUCAUUUGAUGUCCAAGAAACCCUGUGGGCCUCACAAGGUUUAAAAAAAAAAUUUUUUAUACUUGAACCAGAGAACUGAACUUUGCCAAGAGCAAAUGGAACUCAGAUAUCAAAAAGGUCUGAGUUCAGUUUUCACUGAAGACAAAGGGUGAGUGGGCUGUGAACCGAGCCAAAUGCGGCCCCUCCCACCCUCCAUUUACAGUACAUCGUUUUGGCAGACUCUCCCAUCCUGAACGUUGGCUUUCUUCUCCCAUUCCUCUCUAGGGUGUAACCAUAAGCUUAUCUUCCAGUUAAGUUUACGGAAAAAAAAAAGCAUAUUGUAUCAAUUUGUGAAGACCUCACCCAUCAUGGCUCCUAUAACUAUCAGUUUCAUCAGAGCACAUAGAAACGUGUGGAAAGGAAUAAAAAGCUUCCCAGAAGCGGUGUUUUCAUUUGGUCUACUGCAAGGAUGUCAUUUUCAAAGCCCCUUCAUGUGGGAGUUUAUUGAAGGAAUUUUGCCAUUGCCCCCAUCAAUACAUAGUCAGGAUAUUAACCUGUUAUCAACUCCAUUCCUGAAGAGUCACUAUUUAUCGGAAUGCCAAGGUUUGGAAGAUGCACGCUUCUCCCACUUUGUCUCCCAAAGAGAAAGACACAAUGGGGGUACUUACAUUUUCUUUCUUUCUUUCUUUCUUUCUUUCUUUCUUUCUUUCUUUCUUUUUCUUUCUUUCUUUCUUUCUUUUUUUCUUUCUUUCUUUUCUUUCUUCCUUCCUUCCUUCCUCCCUUCUUCCUUCCCUCCCUCACUCACUCCUUCCUUUCUUUCUCAGCAGCAAUGGAGACUGAACUCAGGGCUUUGUGCGUGUAGGACAAACACUUUACCAAAUGAGCUAAAUUCACAGUCUAUGUACAUGGGAGCAUGUGCCUCUGUGUGUGUGUGUGUGUGUGUGUGUGUGUGUGUGUGUGUAGGUCAGAGAACAACUAAGAAGGGUUCAACUUUUCUUUCCAACAGUUGGGCCCACAGAUCAAACUCAGGCUGUCUGGCUUUGAGGCAGAUUUCUUUACUCUAUGAACUAUCUCUCUAGCCAGAUAUAGGCAAAUAAAUAAAUAAAUAAAAAUAAAAUAGAAUAAAGAAACGAUUAACAAAACAACAAAGAAGAAAACAGGGAAAAGAAAAAUGGUUUCAGUUUCUGCCAGCCCAAGAUAAGCUCCAAGACACUAUAGAUUAUUUUGCUUUGAUUCUGAAGAAGCAUUUACACUAUAACAGUUUGUAUCUAAGUCUACAGUUAUGUAUUGUAAAAAAUGGGAUGUUAAUUUGUUUUAUAACCUCUUUCCAUUGUGUUAGUCCACAAUUAUUAAUAAAGCUUUAACUACUCCUACAUAAAAUCUGACUGUGCAAGUGAUUAUUUAAAUAAUUCAGUAUGGAGUCUUUUAAUCAGAAGUGACAGAAAACCCAUGUCAAAAUGACUUAAGAACAAAAGGGAAUGUUUUUGGCUGACAUCUGAAAGGUGUAAUGUGAGAUGUGGUCCAAGGCCCAGCAAGACUCAGGGCUCAGGUGCUGUUAGGCGGUCUGUUUCCUCUCUUCUGUCCUUGUUUCCUUCUGCUGCCUGUGUACCCUUGCAAGAUCACGGCAGAACCAUCGGCUCAGGAGUACAUUCUCUGCUGCUGCCUGGCAGAGGAGAGCGAGCAUGCAAACCUUACUGUGUUUCACCGGUCCCCUAGCAAACUCUGCACCUGUCAUUGCUGGUUUUUGCCUGGGUCACACAGUACUCCCUGAGAUUCAAAUAUCUCACUUGGACCACACAGACUGAAAACAAAAGAGGGAGGGCAGGAGUGACACUUGGGCUGUUGGGGACCAAAAAUUAUCGAUUAUAAAGUUGCUCGGAGUCCAAACCUCCGCUCCAUUUUCCAGGACCCUGAUUCUCCCAUUGUCUUUCAGAUGUUGGCUAAAUUGCCACGGGGUGGCUUGGCCUCAGUGGAGAGUGUCUCCUAGUUUGCGUAACUACAGACCUAGGCCCUAUCCUAUUCAAAGAACUUGCUUAUGUGCCUAGAGACUGUUUAGGUGCCUCUUGAAUUAAAAGAAUUACUUGAUAUCAGCUUUAUACGUGACAGUAGAUGCCUUCUGCGGUCACCCCCACUGAUGGAAAGCUAUUUAAGAGGAUGCUAGAAUAAACCGGAGACUGCAGUUUCCAGCAUGGACUGAGAGCCCUCCUGAAAUGACAAGAUGUCUGUCUGGUCUUUAUCCCUGUUGGGUAGCUAGGAGUUUCCCAAUCCAGCACUCCCUGACACAUAGAUGGCCCUGGGGCUAUUUGACUGGCUCUGAUCUCAGCCCCAGAGACUUCAGUCCGGAAUAGAUAGCCUCUGUAGCAUGGGACUGAUACAAGCCGGGCCCGACAUUGGACUCCAUGGUUAUCAGAGUGAAUGGUGGGUGGCCCAAACAACACUUGCAUUUGUAGAACUUGCUUUAUGUUAGUUUUCUAAGAACUUUUAUAACAGACUGACAUAAACUUCCAGCUCAAAACCCAGAAACUUACUGUCAUAAAGUUUUGGAAUCUGGACAUGUAAGAUCAAGGUAUCUAUGGGGAUCAUGUAAUUUUUUCCUCCAGGGGGAAUCUGGUCAUGCUUCUCUCUUGGCUUUGUGUGGCUCCUGGCAAUCUUUGUGCUUGGCUUGUAGAGUAUCACUCUGCUCUCCUCCUUCAUGUUCAGAUGGCAUCCUCCCUGCAGGCACUGAGAGUCCAGAUUGCUUUUAUAAUUAGUCAUAUUAGAGUAGGAACCUGUCUGUUUUGAAAGGAUUAUUACAGGCCCAAAUAAGAUCAGAGGAACUGAGAAUAGUCUAUGAUUUUGGGGGUGGGGUGGGAGUAGGCACAAUUCAAUUUACAAUGUUCUCAUGAACUUAUUGUUUCUAAGACCCAUCUGAUUUGUGCUCAGAUGCUACAACCGUUUGCUUCCCUCUUUCCACUAAGUAGGUUAGCAGUUUGGAUGAGGCUACUUCAAGGACCCCUUACCUAGAACCUGUUGUUUGUGUGUGUGAGCUAAGAACAUCUUAAUGCCAGAAUGUUCACUGUAAUUUUCAUCAUGUAUGAGCUCAAGGACUUUGGGCAAUGCACUCGACCUCCGAUAACCUCAGUCUUUGAAAACAGUAUAACGAAGCUGGGCGUUGGUGGCACACCCCUUUAAUCCCAGAACUCGGGAGGCAGAGGCAGG
ensembl:lncRNA